GAAUGAAGGCAUUCUGGCUGUGGUCAGCAUCCCCCUGACUCGAGGGCUCAUUCAGCUGGUUAGCUCGGCUGCCUAGGUAUUCCUUCCCUGGCCCUUUGUUCCUUGUGCAUCUCUCCUGCACCUACAUGUACAGUUGAAGAGAAUGACCUUACCAGUACGAGAGGCUGGUCCUUUUUUUCAGUCACAUGUACUCGUAGCUCUAUACUACCUGUCUAGAACCUAUGAAGACCGUCUUCUUCUUUUGUUUAACAGAAUCAGGAUAUCCAAUGUUCAGGGUUGAAAGAGAAAGUAAAAAGGUGUUUUAUUUU
rnacentral:snRNA from 1 species